rnacentral:lncRNA from 1 species
UUGAGAUCCUGUCUGUUCUGUUCAGGUAAAUCUUCAGACUGCACGGUCAUGCUAUUUCCAGUCGCUGCAUCAUCCACCGAGUUUAUAUCUGCAUCAUCCACCACGUUUAGAUCUAGCGGAAAUGUGCACUUUCCAUUACUCUUUGAGAUUCCUGCCAUGGUCUUAUUGUCAGUGCAAUCAUGAACAGGUAAAGCUGCUAGAGGGUGUACCUUGGAUGAUAACCUUCCAUCUCUG